rnacentral:rRNA from 1 species
GGGUGCGAGCGUUGUUCGGAAUCACUGGGCGUAAAGCGCGUGUAGGCGGCCCACUAAGUCUGAUGUGAAAGCCCGGGGCUCACCCCCGGAAGUGCAUUGGAAACUGGUGGACUCGAGUCCCGGAGAGGAGGGUGGAAUUCCUGGUGUAGCGGUGAAAUGCGUAGAUAUCAGGAGGAACACCGGUGGCGAAGGCGGCUCUCUGGACGGUGACUGACGCUGAGACGCGAAAGCGUGGGGAGCAAACAGG